rnacentral:rRNA from 1 species
UACAGAGGUCCCAAGCGUUGUUCGGAUUCAUUGGGCGUAAAGGGCGCGUAGGCUGCGGGGCAAGUCGGGUGUGAAAUCUCAGAGCUCAACUCUGAAACUGCACUCGAUACUGCUUUGCUUGAGGACUGGAGAGGAGAUUGGAAUUCACGGUGUAGCGGUGAAAUGCGUAGAUAUCGUAAGGAAGACCAGUGGCGAAGGCGGGUCUCUGGACAGUUCCUGACGCUGAGGCACGAAGGCCAGGGGAGCAAACGGG